UACAGAGGUGGCAAGCGUUGUUCGGAAUUACUGGGCGUAAAGGGCGCGUAGGCGGCCUACUAAGUCAGACGUGAAAUCCCUCGGCUUAACCGGGGAACUGCGUCUGAUACUGGAUGGCUAGAGGUUGGGAGAGGGAUGCGGAAUUCCAGGUGUAGCGGUGAAAUGCGUAGAUAUCUGGAGGAACACCGGUGGCGAAGGCGGCAUCCUGGACCAAUUCUGACGCUGAGGAGCGAAAGCCAGGGGAGCAAACGGG
rnacentral:rRNA from 1 species